GACGUAGGGCGCGAGCGUUGUCCGGAUUUAUUGGGCGUAAAGAGCUCGUAGGCGGCUUGUCGCGUCGACCGUGAAAACUUGGGGCUCAACCCCAAGCCUGCGGUCGAUACGGGCAGGCUAGAGUUCGGUAGGGGAGACUGGAAUUCCUGGUGCAGCGGUGAAAUGCGCAGAUAUCAGGAGGAACACCAGUGGCGAAGGCGGCUUCCUGGACCAAUACUGACGAUCAGGUGCGAAAGCGUGGGGAGCAAACAGG
rnacentral:rRNA from 1 species